AGCCCAAUCCGCUCACUUCCUCGAGCCCCACGCAACUCCACUUUCUCUUAAUUUCUCUCCUCCUCCUCCUCCUCGAUUUCCAGCGCGUGGCCGCCGCCGCUCAUCCUUCUCCUCUUCUCUCCCGUGCCACCAGGUCGCUGCUCCUCCAUAACACUGGCCGCUCCACCUCGCCUUCCUUCUCUUUGUUGUCCGAUGGCCAUCGGCGGCGCCUGGAUCUGGAUCGGGUGCAGGUUAGUUGAGGCCAUUGGUUGCGUGAAUCCGGGCGGAUCCGGUCACUAGGCGGCGUGAGGCUGCGGAUCCGACGAGGUCACGGCGGCGGCCGGUGGCUUUUUGUUGUGCUCUGCGAGAGACAACGGGAGGAGAAGGAACAAAGAGGAGGGAGGGAUGCGGCAGGGCCACAGUUGCUUUGGUCAUUGUUGUUAGCUGUGGGGAGGCAUGCUGAACCUGCCGGCUCGACCAGGAGCUGCAGGUGCAGAGGCGCGUGCGAGGAGCGUCGUCGGUCGCCCGUCCUUCUUUCUUCGUCAGGAAGGGCGCAGCCUGCUACUCAAGCCCCUCUCCUCCUCUCCUUGCAGAGGAACGACCUUCUCCUUCCCCAUUUAUCUUGCACUGCUGUGCUCUUGCCAAAGCAGCUCCUAACCAAGCAUUCGCUGCUCCUCAACUCUCAGCAGGAAAGGCACGGGCGCCACCACACUGGAGAGAUGGACGAGGACAUGAAGCUUUCGUGGAGACGACAAUGUGGACGCCGCUGCACCCCCACGCCAUGGACACGAAGAUUCCCAUCCUCUCUGCCCUCGAUAACCACUUCAGCGGUGCCAUGAACGGCAGCAACCGCCUCUUCUCGGCACACGCAGACCACAUGGCCGUCUUCCUCUCUGGCCUCUUCCACACCAACAGCUCAGGUCAACUAGGAGAUGAUGCAAGCCAAGGCGUUCACACUGAUUUAAUAUGUUUGCUCUAUGUUUGGUCAUAUUGUUCCUGGCGGUCCUGGAAGUAUCUUCAAGUUUUAAUAGAGGCAAUCCAUGGUCCUGAGAUCGACAAAGUUUGUGGCAUCCUUCUUCCUUAUGUAUUGCGUCUAAUUGCCUCUGGUCAUAAAUAGCAAGACACUGAUGGAGGAGCCAUCCAGCUCAUGCUGCGAUUGUUCCAGCUUUCCGUACUAAGAAAUCACUGACUGCCAGGAAACGGAAGUGGACUGUGUGCCAGAGAUGGAAGUUGUUAUUUGAAUGUGCCAUGUGUGGUUAAACUGAGCUGACUCCGAAUGUGCUUCAUGCAAUUAAAUUGAUCAGAGCAGUUUAUCUUUGCUUGUCAACUCUAUAUUAGUUGACAGACGAUCGCCGAGGCUCUCUGUCGCAGCUGUGUGCCUGAUCAACAAGCCAAAUAUUUCGAGUCUGCUUGCUAACGUGUCUGAAGAGAAGAUAUCAGUGAUGGUGGACCUGCUGAUGGUGGACCAAUGCGGUGAGACGUACCUGUUCCAUAUAACCAUGUGAAAGAAGUAAAUCCUUUCACCUUGAUGAGGCACUGUAAUCAACGGCCUAGCGCAAGCAUGCCAUAGCUCCUUGUAUAAUGUGUCGCUAGAAAUCCCUGCACAAAAGAUUCAUUAUGUGAACUAGGCAUAAAAUUCAAGGGCCUUUCACCUUAAUAUAUAAUGGCAGAUUCUAACA